rnacentral:rRNA from 1 species
CCUACGGGAGGCUGCAGUGGGGAAUAUUGCACAAUGGGGGAAACCCUGAUGCAGCAACGCCGCGUGAGUGAAGAAGUAUUUCGGUCUGUAAAGCUCUAUCAGCAGGGAAGAAGAUGACGGUACCUGAGUAAGAAGCCCCGGCUAACUACGUGCCAGCAGCCGCGGUAAUACGUAGGGGGCAAGCGUUAUCCGGAUUUACUGGUUGUAAGGGUACCGUAGACGGCUGGGCAAUUCUGAAGUGAAAGCCCGGGCCUCACCCCCGGGACGGCUUUGGAAACUGUGUAGCUAGAGUGCUGGAGAGGCAAGCGGAAUUCCUAGUGUAGCGGUGAAAUGCGUAGAUAUUAGGAAGAACACCAGUGGCGAAGGCGGCUUGCUGGACAGUAACUGACGUUGAGGCUCGAAAGCGUGGGGAGCGAACAGGAUGAGAUACCCGAGGAGUC